GAUCUAUAGAAAUAUGUCAAAGAGAGAAGCCACAGAGGCACACACAGCUGAGGUACGUGAGGCCCAACAGAGCAAAGAGACAGAGACCACGAAUAUGGGAGGAGAGAAGGUGUGGAAAGCGGGUGGAGAUGCUCUUUCAAGAAGAAGAGGAGGACGGUAGCCAGGGGCGUCGAUAAGGUCUCAAGGUGGUUUGUGUGGGUGUGUGUUAGCUUAUUUGCUAACGGCAAUGAUCCAGUAGCCGGAAAGACUAAUGAUGCAGGAGAGAAGGAGAUUCAGGACGGACAUCCUUGAGGAGGCAAGACGGAAGGUGACCCAGUGCCAGACGAGUUUCUCCCUUGGGAGCAAAUUUUUCUUCUUCCCAAUGCAUCUGCAAAGGAGCUUAUUGCCACCUGACAAGAUCUCCUCUCCAACAACAGGAGCGUGGUGCCAGGUCUUAACUAAGACUUCUACCCCUAUCCACGCAGCUCAGCAUACAAACCAACCUACGUUGACACAAGAGGCAUCUUCUCAUUGGCAGGGAUUUGAAAAGCCACAGACCCCCGCUAUCCC
rnacentral:lncRNA from 1 species